rnacentral:rRNA from 1 species
UACGAAGGGGCUAGCGUUGCUCGGAAUCACUGGGCGUAAAGGGCGCGUAGGCGGCCAUUCAAGUCGGGGUGAAAGCCCAGGGCUCGAACCCUGGAAUUGCCUCGAUACUGUUGGCUAGAGACCGGAAGAGGUAAGUGGAACUGCGAGUGUAGAGGUGAAAUUCGUAGAUAUCAGGAGGACACCAAUGGCGAAGGCAGCUCG